rnacentral:lncRNA from 1 species
GGGGGGGAAGGGAAGAAUGUGGCUUCUGGGGGGUGGAAAGGGGGAUCUGUGAGUGGAGGGUGAGUUAUGAGGAGUGAAAAAAGGGGUGAGUAGAGGCCACCAUUGGGAAGAAAGAGGGUCUGGAGGGUGCUGUGGCGGAGGGGGGAGCAGAGAAAGGGGUGAGUGGGGCUUCUGUGGGGUGGAAAGGGGGCCUGGGGAGGAACUUGGGAGGUUGAGGGGGGUGAAAAGGGAUGAAUAGAGUCGCUAGGAGAAAGAAAGGGCACCUGGGGGUGAAGGGAGGGGUGGAAGGGGGGAACCGAGGGUCGUGAGGGGCUUCUAAGGGGUGAAAAUGGGAUCUGGUGGGUGGGACUGGGGGUCAAAAUGGGGACUAGGAGGAACACUGAGCUGGAGAGGGGAAGGGAGCUGUAGGGAUCAGAAUAGGGGAAUUGUAGGGGGAUAGUUUGGGGGGGGGGGGGGGGGGGGAAGACAGGGGAACCUGUGGGUCAGAUAGAGGGGACUGGGAGGGAGGGGACUGAUGGGGACAGCAUAGGGAGAGUAGUGGGGGGGAGAGGGGGGAAAGAGGACACUGAGGAUUAGAAUAGGGGACUGGGGGGGGCGGGGCAGAUAGGGAACCUGGUGUAAAAUGGAGAACGGGUGGAGGGGCACUGAGGGGAGGCACUGCGGUGCGGGGUAGAAGAGGACUCCUGGGAUCAGAAUGGGGGAACUGGAGUUGGGGGGGGAGGGGGGGAGUGACCCUGGGGGUCAGAAGAAGGGACUGGAAAGGUUUGGGGUGAUUCGUGGGGGCCGAGGGGAGGAGAAGGGGGUGAGGGCAGGGAAAUACCCUGGGUGGGGGGGCACAGGGCAUCUCCCGCCGCCGAGCAGAGGCCCUGAGCACCGCAGCGGCCCCACGGGGCCAACGCAGAGCAGCACGCAACCCCCCCACCCCCGAACACCCACUCGGAGAAGCUGAAGCGGCGCUCGGAGCCCCGGGGCUGCCCGGCGGCGCUGCAGCAGCGUUGAACCCG